AGAGUUUGAUCCUGGCUCAGGAUGAACGCUGGCGGUCUGCUUAACACAUGCAAGUCGAACGGGGUGCUUCGGCACCUAGUGGCGGACGGGUGAGUAACGCGUGAGGAUCUGCCUUCAGGACGGGGACAACAGUUGGAAACGACUGCUAACACCCGAUGUGCCGAGAGGUGAAAUAUUUAUAGCCUGGAGAUGAGCUCGCGUCUGAUUAGCUAGUUGGUAAGGUAACGGCUUACCAAGGCGACGAUCAGUAGCUGGUCUGAGAGGAUGAUCAGCCACACUGGGACUGAGACACGGCCCAGACUCCUACGGGAGGCAGCAGUGGGGAAUUUUCCGCAAUGGGCGCAAGCCUGACGGAGCAAGACCGCGUGAGGGAGGAAGGUCUGUGGAUUGUAAACCUCUUUUCUCAGGGAAGAAGUUCUGACGGUACCUGAGGAAUCAGCAUCGGCUAACUCCGUGCCAGCCGCCGCGGUAAUUC
rnacentral:rRNA from 1 species